AUACGGAGGUUGCAAGCGUUAUCCGGAAUCAUUGGGUUUAAAGGGUCCGUAGGCGGACUAUUAAGUCAGAGGUGAAAUCCCACAGCUCAACUGUGGAACUGCCUUUGAUACUGGUAGUCUUGAGUUAUAUGGAAGUAGAUAGAAUGUGUAGUGUAGCGGUGAAACGCAUAGAUAUUACACAGAAUACCGAUUGCGAAGGCAGUCUACUACGUAUAUACUGACGCUAAGGGACGAAAGCGUGGGGAGCGAACAGGAUUAGAUACCCUAGUAGUCC
rnacentral:rRNA from 1 species